rnacentral:ribozyme from 10 species
UCACUUGCAUGUUUUGCUUGACAUUUUUUUUGCAUUUCUCCUAUUCAUUUCUCCAAAUUGGUGUGGGCAGGAUGUGCCCAUUUCUCCAAAUUGGUGUGGGCGGGUUGUGCCCCACACAUGCAGCACAAAAAAUGUAAGUAACUGACUAC